GGACCCAUCCCUUGGAGCUGUGAAGCACGUCCACGUUGCUUUCAGAAUCGCAAUGAUGAGAUUGACUGAGAAAUUUUCAAGUCUUUUCUGUAUGUGCAGAUUUGUUGGCUUUGAGUAUAGAACCAGAAAGGAGGAAGGACAGCUAAGCUGGGAUCUAUCUGUGACUCUCGGAGACCUUCUGGACAAAAGCCAUCCAUCAGAUCACCUCUGCUGGGCACGCAAUCCCAGGACAGUUUUGGCCGUUGCAUCUCCUUGCUCCAGUCCUGAGAUUAUCUAUGGUGACUCUUCUGUGUUGGGCGUGAUUGAUGACCCAACACUAUCUCCGGGACCUGGGAGUGACCUUCGGCUCGCAUUUGUUCGGGUGGAUUCGUUCCAAAUCAAGGAUGCAACGCUGAAAUCCAGAUCUACAAGGCAGAAAUGGCAUCUGGUUUGCUCUUCAUUGCCUAGGAAAUUUAUUGGAGUGGAGAGGGGCCACCCUGGGCAGGAAUGAGAACUGGCUCCAGAUCCCGGGGUUCUGUGCCAUGUCAUCUAGGGCGAUUUCUCUAGCCUAAGUCUUGCCGUUUUCUUUCCUCCUUUCUUUCUUUCUUUUUCCACUCUGCCUUUAGACAUACCUUCCUCCUGGUGCUGUUAUUACGAGGUUUCUAGGCAUUUACCUCAGCUCCUGACGUCUGAGUGCCUCCACCUCCAUGGAGCAGCUGCACACCCAAUACCGCAGCUGUAAACCGCGGGCUUCAGCAUCUCCCUUUCUCCUACCUUGAACGCUUGCCACGCUUCUCUCGCUCAAGUGUCUUGUCAUUGUCACCCGAGUCUUGUCUUGGAUCUGAGUGUCCCAGACACUGAAGGCAAAGCUUGAAAGGCCUGAGAUAGGAAACGAAAUGUUUGAUGAUCGUAUGCCGUCUCAGUGAUGGAAGCAGGCUCUAGAUAGCGUAAGCAGAAGGGAAGAGUUUGGGCCAAUAGGGGGACUAAGCUUAGAAAUGCAUGGAAAUUAGGGGACUGGUCAAAUGAACCACAGCAAUAGUGAUAUGACAGGAGCGGUUUAAUCAACACGCAGGCCCUGCUACUUUGGAAAAGGUGACUUUCGCCUUUCAAUUGCUCCUCUAAGAGUCAAAAGUCAUGUUUACUUUUGAUAUCCUAGCUCAUGAAGAGAGGCUAUAGUGGAAACCGACACAUAGGAAAUAAGUCGUGAGGUGCCAGACAUCACAGAAUAAGAGCAGAACAUUUGUCUACUACAGCUGACAGACGAUCUUUAUGGAUUGUGAGUUUAAGACUCUGCCCCAUAAAGGAUGUCUUCCAUUCAUGAGUUAAAAGUCCAAGUAGACAAUCAGGGUAUGUAGUAUCUAUCUAUUAGCAGGAAUAAGGAGGCUUUAGCUAGGCCUGCUCAUUUAAGGUAAUUUAGAGGAAAAUAAUAAAUAUGAAGUUAAAAUAAAGAUGAAAUUAUUCACACUGGGGGGAAAUGCAUUGACAAGUGUUGAACUCAGCAGCAUGAUUGGUGACCAGCCAUUCAGGUAACUGCCGACUGAUUUCCGUUUGGGACUUUUCCCCAAGCCUGUCUCACGGAGGCACAUGACCGCAAGCGGCCCACAUGUAUUUUCUAUCUACUCUGAGCUCCCAGCAAACCCCCUGGACCCUGGGUGGCCUGUGUCACUAAUCAUUACAGUCCCUGUCUUGGGAACUGACAGUCUGCUUCCUUUUUGCUGUACCCUCCAGGCUCCAAUUAUCCUAAAUACAUAAAUAAAUAAACUCAAGACUGAA